rnacentral:rRNA from 1 species
GACAGAGGGUGCAAACGUUGUCCGGAGUUACUGGGCGUAAAGCGCGCGCAGGCGGCGGUGCUGGCCCGGCGUGAAAGCCCCCGGCUCAACCGGGGAGGGUCGUCGGGGACCGCACCGCUUGAGGGCGGUAGGGGCUGGUGGAAUGCCUGGUGUAGUGGUGAAAUGCGUAGAGAUCAGGCGGAACACCCGUGGCGAAGGCGGCCAGCUGGGCCGUCCCUGACGCUGAGGCGCGAAGGCGUGGGGAGCGAACGGG